rnacentral:rRNA from 1 species
GGAGUUAGCCGGUGCUUCUUCUGUGAGUGAUGUCCUUCCUGCCGGCUAUUAACCCGCAGGCCUUCUUCCUCACUGAAAGUGCUUUACAACCCGAAGGCCUUCUUCACACACGCGGCAUGGCUGGAUCAGGGUUGCCCCCAUUGUCCAAUAUUCCCCACUGCUGCCUCCCGUAGGAGUCUGGGCCGUGUCUCAGUCCCAGUGUGGCUGAUCAUCCUCUCAGACCAGCUACGGAUCGUCGCCUUGGUGAGCCGUUACCUCACCAACCAGCUAAUCCGACAUAGGCUCAUCCGAUAGCGCGAGGCCCGAAGGUCCCCCGCUUUCCCCCGUAGGGCGUAUGCGGUAUUAGCCUGGGUUUCCCCAGGUUAUCCCCCACUACCGGGCAGAUUCCUAUGCAUUACUCACCCGUCCGCCGCUCGCCACCAGGGAGCAAGCUCCCCGUGCUGCCGCUCGACUUGCAUGUGUUAGCUGCCGCCAGCGUCAUCUGAACCAAGAUACAAUUACUGA